CCAAUGGGGACAGUCCUCAGUACAGCUGGUCUCUGGAUGGGAGGCCUCUGAGUGAAGCUGAUGCUGAUCUCAGUACAGAUCCUCAGACUCUCCUGCUGAGUGGGAAUGUGACUGGAGAACUCACCUGCAGCGUCUCAAACCACGUCAGCAGCACAAACACCUCAGCUCUGCUGCUGGAAGCCUGCUCUGGUACCUCCACUGUGUCUGUCCCACCAACUAACCAGACUAACACGACUCUUCUCUCUACCCACCCAGGUACCUCAGAGACGGGUCCCUCAGUGAUGGUAAUAGUUAUUUGUGUGUUAUUAUCCCUGACUGUGUGUCUGUGUGUCGCUGUGGGGAUGUUCUACAUCAGAAUGAAAAAGAGGAACACACACACUCCAGUGAGUGAAAAGAAAGAGCCUGACGAUUUGGUGUACGUCCAGGUGACCACUAGUAGCAACGGCAGAAGACAAAUAUCAGACAUUCAAGGUACAAGAGUGGAAACAGAGGAUGUGGUGUAUUCUGGCGUUGCCAUGGCAAAUAGGAGCAGCAGGCAUAAAAGCAGGAAGCCACCAGCAGCUGAGGCGUAUGAGUUGGAGUAUGCUGAGGUGUCUGCCUUCAGUAAGCGAUGGGGCCCAACUGAGAGUCACAGGCCAGAGGAGUCGGUUGAGUACGGGGAAGUGAGAGUCCACACACCACACUGACUCACAGCAGGCAGACAGUGUGUAUGCUCAAAUGCACCUCGGACAGUGACGUGUGUGUGUGUGUGUGUGUGUGUGUGUGUGUGUGUGUGUGUGUGUGUGUGUGUGUGUGUGUGUGUGUGUGUGUGUGUGUGUGUGUGUGUGUGUGUGUGUGUGUGUGUGUGUGUGUGAACCUGUGGAGGCAUGUAGCAGAGUGUGUGUCUGUUCCUCAUAGCAGGUUAAUGUGGAGGUUAAAUACCUGACCACAGCAGACACAACUAACCAAGGGUACUAUAAUGGUGGAAUUAUGUGGUUAAUUAGGGGUACCAUCAUGAAGAAAUUAUGAUGCAAGCAAACCACACAGUACAGGAGUUCAUGAGAAUUGAGAUGCCCUGCUGGUGUGAUCCUGCCUCCUGCUUGUCAUUCACUAAGCUGGGAACAACAGAGUGGAGAUACAGAGACAAUCCUUAUUUCCCCCAUAUGUGCUCCUGAGUUCUGGCAGCAGAGACAUACUCAGGUUACACAGAGCGGUGUGGUAGUGAACGCACCAUUCCUACUGUACUGAAACUAGCAGCAGACACACACUCAGGUUACACAGAGCUGUCAAUUUUUUUUACAGUCAUUGCCCCCCAGUGAGGUUCCACAUAGCUGUGUGGUAGUGAACGCACCACUGCUACUCUGCUGAACAGUAGCGCUGUUGGUCACGUCUCCUCAUUUGGACUAGACCUCUAACGGCUGUGUGGUGUAACACCCUCAGGGAUUGCGUGUCUGCUGAAGAGUAGUGCUGUGUGGUGUAACACCCUCAGAGAUUGCGUGUCUGCUGAAGAGUAGUGCUGGGUGGUGUCACACCCUGAGGGUUACGUGUCUGCUGAAGGGUAAAAAGCUGGGAGUUUGAGGACUGAAGGCACGGACACAACC
ensembl:lncRNA